AUACGUAGGGUGCGAGCGUUAAUCGGAAUUACUGGGCGUAAAGCGUGCGCAGGCGGUUUUGUAAGACAGAUGUGAAAUCCCCGGGCUUAACCUGGGGAACUGCGUUUGUGACUGCAAGACUCGAGUGUGGCAGAGGGGGGUGGGAAUUCCACGUGUAGCAGUGAAAUGCGUAGAGAUGUGGAGGAACACCGAUGGCGAAGGCAGCCCCCUGGGUCAACACUGACGCUCAUGCACGAAAGCGUGGGUAGC
rnacentral:rRNA from 1 species